AUUGAACGCUGGCGGCAUGCUUUACACAUGCAAGUCGAACGGCAGCGCGGGCUUCGGCCUGGCUGCGAGUGGCGAACGGGUGAGUAAUGCAUCGGAACGUGCCCAGUAGUGGGGUAUAGCCCGGCGAAAGCCGGAUUAAUACCGCAUACGACCUGAGGGUGAAAGCGGGGGACCGAAAGGCCUCGCGCUAUUGGAGCGGCCGAUGUCGGAUUAGCUAGUUGGUGGGGUAAAGGCUUACCAAGGCGACGAUCCGUAGCUGGUCUGAGAGGACGACCAGCCACACUGGGACUGAGACACGGCCCAGACUCCUACGGGAGGCAGCAGUGGGGAAUUUUGGACAAUGGGGGCAACCCUGAUCCAGCCAUGCCGCGUGCGGGAAGAAGGCCUUCGGGUUGUAAACCGCUUUUGUUCGGGAAGAAAUCCUCUGGGCUAAUACCCCGGGGGGAUGACGGUACCGGAAGAAUAAGCACCGGCUAACUACGUG
rnacentral:rRNA from 1 species